ACUCCUACGGGAGGCAGCAGUGGGGAAUAUUGCACAAUGGGCGAAAGCCUGAUGCAGCAACGCCGCGUGAGGGACGACGGCCUUCGGGUUGUAAACCUCUUUUAGUAGGGAAGAAGCGAAAGUGACGGUACCUGCAGAAAAAGCACCGGCUAACUACGUGCCAGCAGCCGCGGUAAUACGUAGGGUGCAAGCGUUAUCCGGAAUUAUUGGGCGUAAAGAGCUCGUAGGCGGUUUGUCGCGUCUGCUGUGAAAACUGGAGGCUCAACCUCCAGCCUGCAGUGGGUACGGGCAGACUAGAGUGCGGUAGGGGAGAUUGGAAUUCCUGGUGUAGCGGUGGAAUGCGCAGAUAUCAGGAGGAACACCGAUGGCGAAGGCAGAUCUCUGGGCCGUAACUGACGCUGAGGAGCGAAAGCAUGGGGAGCGAACAGGAUUAGAUACCCUGGUAGUCCAUGCCGUAAACGUUGGGAACUAGAUGUAGGGACCAUUCCACGGUUUCUGUGUCGCAGCUAACGCAUUAAGUUCCCCGCCUGGGGAGUACGGCCGCAAGGCUAAAACUCAAAGGAAUUGACGGGGGCCCGCACAAGCGGCGGAGCAUGCGGAUUAAUUCGAUGCAACGCGAAGAACCUUACCAAGGCUUGACAUAUACCGGAAAUGGCUAGAAAUAGUCCCCCCGCAAGGUCGGUAUACAGGUGGUGCAUGGUUGUCGUCAGCUCGUGUCGUGAGAUGUUGGGUUAAGUCCCGCAACGAGCGCAACCCUCGUUCUAUGUUGCCAGCACGUAAUGGUGGGAACUCAUAGGAGACUGCCGGGGUCAACUCGGA
rnacentral:rRNA from 1 species